CGAUCUCCAAAGCUGCAGUCCUGGACUGGGUCUCCUGGAUUCCAUCCAUACGGUCCAAAGCUGUGACAAGGUGUUAGCGACCUGGAGGAUGUUCAGCUGGGGUGGAAUGGAGUUCGGGGAUAGUUUUCUUGAAACCUGGCAGAAUCCAUAGAGAACUACAGGGCGGGAGCAGGAAGCCCGGGGGUACAAGCUCCAGUUCCCUAGUGUGGGAACGCUGGGGUUGAAGGUGGAAAUGAGUGCUCAGGCGGUGGGUGCCAUCAUGUCUGCCGGACCCAAAACCUGCCUGACUUCGUGCUAGGGCUCACAGGCUCUGGUCGCCUGGAGACCCUGAGCUCCAGAGCCAUAAACUCCCAGCAAAUUCCGUCUUUGUCCUCAGUAAGAAUCCAUUGGUCAGCCAAACACGGGGAUUUUAAUCAUUAUUGACCGCGUGGCCUUGUUUUAAAACUUGAGAUUGCAAACAACCUUGUGCAGGUUCCUAAGUCCUGAUUGACAACUGCUCCUCUGUUUAGAAAACACGCUGUUGUUUGCGCUGGCAGUCUUACAUAAACUCCAUAGCACUGUGAUGUCAGCAUUGCUGUCCUCAUUAAGGAUAACAAGCUAGGCUCAAGUGGGUGGAGGGAUGUGUGCAGGCUACAAUGACGUUGAGGAAGCGCUGAUUCCAGGGUAGGUAUGAUUCUAUGAUUCCUUUCCUGAAUCUGGCCCUAAUUCUGCACCUGCCUAAAGUCGGCAUCUCGGUCUUCACAGAGACCUGUCAGCUCGCAGUUUCCAGGUUUUAGCUUCUGGUAACCACUGUUGUUUGAGAGUAGUGAGCUGUGAACUGGGCAGCAGAGAACCACCAGGAUCAGACUUUUCUUCAGAGGAGAGAGCAGCCUUCUGACCUCUUUGACAAUCAGGAGCAAGUCAGCGUUGCCAGGGUUUUCUACGUUCUGGCGAGGCAUCCCAGACUGACCUCAAACUUGGAAUCCUCCACCUCGGUCUGCAAGUGCUUAGAUUACAGGUGUGCGCCACUGCACCUGGCUUCCAUGAUCAUUACUUCUGAGUCAUUUAAAACUUUGCUGAAAUUGGACCUGAGAGUAUGAUUGACUACGAUCUGAAGGGACCUUUCCAGUGAAUGCCUCAGGAAUCAAAGACUCGUUGCACUGAGUGGGUCACAGUUGGACUUUCACAGCUCUCUACAUUAUCAAGAGCCACAGAAAAUGAAUAACCUCAGGGUUCUUCAUUUCCAAACCAGAAGUGAUACUCAGGUAACAAGAAACACCUUGGCUCUCAGAGGAGAAAUUCUCAAACUGUAUUCACCCAGCCUGUAUAUCAAGAUGUAGAACUCUCAGCUCCUU